rnacentral:rRNA from 1 species
AGUCUUUGCAGUAAUGCAAGGCAUACGGCUCAGUAACACGUAGUCAACUUACCCUAUGGACGAGGAUAAUCUCGGGAAACUGAGCAUAAUACUCGAUAGAUCAUAAUGCCUGGAAUGGUUUAUGGUUAAAAUGAUUCGUCGCCAUAGGAUGGGACUGCGGCCUAUCAGCUUGUUGGUGAGGUAAUGGCCCACCAAGGCGAUUACAGGUACGGGCUCUGAGAGGAGAAGCCCGGAGAUGGGUACUGAGACAAGGACCCAGGCCCUAUGGGGCGCAGCAGGCGAGAAAACUUUGCAAUGUGCGAAAGCACGACAAGGUUAAUCCGAGUGAUUUCUGCUAAAGAAAUCUUUUGCAAGUCAUAAAACCACUAGUGAAUAAGGGGUGGGCAAGUUCUGGUGUCAGCCGCCGCGGUAAAACCAGCACCUCAAGUGGUCAGGAGGAUUAUUGGGCCUAAAGCAUCCGUAGCCGGCACUGUAAGUUUUCGGUUAAAUCCAUGUGCUCAACGCAUGGGCUGCCGAAAAUACUGCAUAGCUAGGGAGUGGGAGAGGUAGACGGUACUCAGUAGGAAGGGGUAAAAUCCUUUGAUCUAUUGAUGACCACCUGUGGCGAAGGCGGUCUACCAGAACACGUUCGACGGUGAGGGAUGAAAGCUGGGGGAGCAAACCGGAUUAGAUACCCGGGUAGUCCCAGCUGCAAACGAUGCAGACUCGAUGAUGCAUUGGCAUAUAGCC